rnacentral:rRNA from 1 species
GAUGAACGCUGGCGGCGUGCCUAAUACAUGCAAGGCGAACGAAACUUCUUUAUCACCGAGUGCUUGCACUCACCGAUAAAGAGUUGAGUGGCGAACGGGUGAGUAACACGUGGGCAACCUGCCCAAAAGAGGGGGAUAACACUUGGAGACAGGUGCUAAUACCGCAUAACCAUAGUUACCGCAUGGUAACUAUGUAAAAGGUGGCUAUACUACCGCUUUUGGAUGGGCCCGCGGCGCAUUAGCUAGUUGGUAGGGUAAAGGCUUACCAAGGCAAUGAUGCGUAGCCGAAUUGAGAGGUUGAUCGGCCACAUUGGGACUGAGACACGGCCCAAACUACUACGGGAGGCAGCAGUAGGGACUCUGCCACAAUGGGCGAAAGCCUGAUGGAGCAACGCCGCGUGGGUGAAGAAGGUCUUCGGUUCUUAUAAUCCUGCUGUUACAGCCGAAAGCGACACCGAAUCGGUCACCCCUUCCCUACGCGACCCACUUCCGAUCUAGAGUUUGAUCCUGGC